AAACUUACCUGACUGGGAGGCUCUCGCGAUCAAGAAGGCGGGACCUCCAUGGUGAGGCCCGCGCAUUGCACUUUAGCGCAGGCUGACCUGUGUGGCAGCUUCUUCUUUUUUCAUUCGCCCUGUUCAGUCGCGCUGAGCGGUUGU
rnacentral:snRNA from 14 species